AUUGAACGCUGGCGGCAGGCCUAACACAUGCAAGUCGAGCGAGCGGCGGACGGGUGAGUAAUGUAUGGGGACUGCCCGAUAGAGGGGGAUCACUACUGGAAAAGGUGGCGAAUACAGCAUACUGACGGAUAACACAUAUGGGAUUAGCUAGUAGGUCAGGUAAUGGCUUACCAAGGCGAGGAUCCCUGGCUGGUCUGCGAGGAUGAUCAGCCACACUGGGACUGAGACACGGACCAGACUCCUACGGAGGCAGCAGUGGGGAAUAUUGCACAAUGGGCGCAAGCCUGAUGCAGCCAUGCCGCGUGUAGGAAGAAGGCCCUAGGGUUGUAAAGUACUUUCAGUCGGGAGGCGUUACCGACAGAAGAAGCACCGGCUAACUCCGUGCCAGCCGCCGCGGUAAUUC
rnacentral:rRNA from 1 species